AAGAGGGAAAAUAUUUUCAUGAUUUGGUCAAUUAUAUUUGAAUAUCUGUCGACUAUAUGCAAUAUGAUAUAUAAGAAAUCACAGAUUCUCUCCUUUAAAUUAAAAAAAAAGGGGGGGUAUUUGAGUUAUGGGAGAAUAAUUAAAGAAGCUUUAUUCCAGCAUUUAUUAUGUAGAUUUUACAUGCGACAAAUUGGUAGGAGGGUUAAAACAAGAGUUAUUAAAUAUGAAAGUAAGCAUAUAGGUGGAUAUGUGCCAAUGGUGGGCACCUUAGAUACUGCUUGUAUUGUUGAUUUAGUUGAAUGUAUACUCAGCAUAUCCAUGAAGGACCCAUCUAUGCUGGUUGUUGGGAUCUUGGAUCAUCUGAUUAUUUGUUUGCAACCUACUCGAUUAAUGAUGUCAGAUGGUUGGUGAUAAGUGUUCGUUUUGGUAACAUUCCUCUUAACCUAUUUGCCUUGUUUUCUUCCAUUAAGUUAAUAUAAUUAGGUUAUUAUUUUAUCCCACUUGACUAUAUAUGUAUACAGUGUUAUUAAAGGCGUGGGAGG
rnacentral:misc_RNA from 1 species